rnacentral:tRNA from 1 species
GAGAAUGUAGCUUAGUGGUAUAGCACUUGCUUGGAAUGCAUGAGAACCUGAGUUCAAUUCUAAGAAAUGCCCA